UAAUAACCCGCGCAAGGGAUGGUAAUGGCAUCCUUUGCUGCCCUCGAAAAAUUUCUAAAAUGAAAACUAAAAUUUCUGGCAGCAAAGAUAUAAUGGACAGCCUGACCUGAG
rnacentral:sRNA from 1 species